AUAGUGUCGUCUGCUUUCAAUUAGUUUCAAGUUUGGAAUCGCAGAGAAAAAGUUUAAAGGUUUAAUUAACAAUGAAAAAGGAACUAAUCCUUUUUUAGAAACGUUCGAAAAAUAUAUAGAACCAAUAAAAUUACAAAACUGGUCGUCGUGCCAAGUCUGAUCACGUCUCUUGAGUCUUGAUAGAAUCGCUUAAUACACACUCCAAGGUUCUUAGCAGAUUAGAGGAGGCAGCCAUCCCAUUACCUAGAAGAUUUUUUUGUGCUGAACCUGUUUUCAGCAAAAAUCUCAGUAUCAUCGCGCUUGCAUCCUGUUUGAUUAAAGAAACUACCGAUGUCGAGCGAGUUACAGAUCUCGUCUUCCCCUAUCUUUAAAUGUCCUCUUGGUACACCCAUGUGGGUGUGUUCUCGAGGAUCGCUGUGUUACUAUUCCGCCUGGUGGAUUCAACUCUUCAGCUGGGAUGUGGCAUAUCUGGAUCCCUGGCCGUAUUUCCCAGGCAUAAAGUCAAACAUGGUAAUCGUGGAGGAAUCUUUUGGCUCCGUCAGUAGUUGGCUAAAAUCAAGUUGUCCCCCAGCCGCCAGAUGACGCGAGUGUCUUUGAGAGGACGAAAUAUUCGCCAUUCUGUUCCGAAAAACGCCAAGUGAAAAGGUAUUUCAAAUUCGUUCGUUACGGAAUUGCGGUGUCGAUCUACAUUUUCAGCAUUGAAAUUUUUUAAAAAGCAAUCUGGCAUAUAAUUUCCACUUGGCCAAAUAAUCGAUCACGUGGACUGAAACUGCUUUCCAUUUUGCCGAAAUUUUUUCCGUUGUUAGCUGUACCUGUUCGGAUGUACGUCUCAUCUCACGCAGGAACACUACAGAGUUGGUGUUCAGGUUGGAGAUCCUGUUGCUUUAACUGUUGCAGAUUGUGAGAACUCAACAAAUUCUGAGCUCAUGGCUGGCAUCAUGGCCACAGUGGUUUUGUUGUAGCCAGCUGGUGAAAGGCGUGAUCGAGUCAAGUUGAGUUGCAGCAUGCUGCAUGCAGUUUAUUGAGCUGGUGUUAUCCUGAAGUGUCAUUGCCGGAAGACUUUUUGAAAUGGACUUGGUGAUACUUAAACUAUGCCUGUGCAGUGGUUUUGCCGCCUGUUUUCAGUUGAGAGAUGUGAUAAUGCAGCAGAUACAGGAUUGAAGAAAAAGAACUGAAGUAGUGCUGGUGUUCUCCUGAAAUUGCUGUGCCACAGGAGUUGCAAAUAGUGUUUGGUUUCUCAUAGAAGUUUAUUUUUAAGAGUCUGGAGAUGAUCAGCCACUUCUGGCUAUAACUUAUGUAAAACUUCAAAGUUGUAAGAAAUAUUCAAGUCAAGU